rnacentral:tRNA from 1 species
GCCUGGGUGGUGGAAUUGGUAGACACCAGGGACUUAAAAUCCCUUGGUCGCAAGGCCGUGCGGGUUCAAAUCCCGCCCCAGGUACCA